rnacentral:rRNA from 1 species
UACGGAGGGGGUUAGCGUUGUUCGGAAUUACUGGGCGUAAAGCGCACGUAGGCGGACCAGAAAGUUGGGGGUGAAAUCCCGGGGCUCAACCCCGGAACUGCCUCCAAAACUCCUGGUCUAGAGUUCGAGAGAGGUGAGUGGAAUUCCGAGUGUAGAGGUGAAAUUCGUAGAUAUUCGGAGGAACACCAGUGGCGAAGGCGGCUCACUGGCUCGAUACUGACACUCAGAUGCGAAAGCGUGGGGAGCAAACAGG